ACUCGCAGUUUUCUUUCCCUCUUAUUACGAUUCUGAUUUGGGUUUUCCGAUUAGCAUUUAGGGUAUAGGGUUUUAUCUGUUUACGGUUUUAUCCGCUUAGGGUUUUAUCUGGUAUCAGAGCCAUGCCUGGAUGAAAGCAGAAAUGCAUACUCCGGGUGCUAUAGCCCGUCGCACCUAUGAAAAGGCCGUUGCCCGAUUCAGUGGCACAUUACACGAAUGGUGGAAUAUGUAAGGCCACAUAUUGUCCUGAGGCAAUACACGUUGCUUGGAGAGGCAUGGGUUGCCUUAAAGAUGCAAUAAAGGAGGGUGGUGCUUUCACUAUUGCAAAUAGUGAUGGCUUUAACUCUCUUGGAGUAACACCUGGAGAAGCAUCUAUUAGCAAUUAUUGUAUUUAUGGACUUUUUACACGUAUUGCAUUCAAGCUUGGUACACUCUGAGAUCAAUCAUCUGGAUCGGACGAAUCACCAUCGCUGGAGGAUGGGGCCAUGAGCAGUUCCAUGUUCCUUUCGACAUAAGUGAUGAAGUGGUCCAAGUAAAGAUCACCAUUGGCAGUGGUGAUUGGAUUCAACCAAAUAGAACUGGGAAUAUCAGCAACCUGGACAUUGUUGAGUUCACACAUUUGGCGCUUGAACAGAUGAAGGACACCAUCGUAAUAGUGUCAGUGGUGUGCCAAAUUGAAAUUUCUGUAGCCACGAAUCACCACACGAUCAUAAGCAAAGGGAACAUAAUAGUGUUCAUCAUCAUAUUCUAAUCUUCUCCUUCAAAAGGAAAUGGAAAGGAAAUCUCUCAAAGCUCAGCUCCACUCCAUCAAAAACCCACCUCGUCCUGCUUCCAUUUAUCCGCCCGAUAAUCCUCUCUUCCCUCAACCAAAGCAAUACCCUCUUCCUACUCCACCACCACUACCAUGGAUCCCUUCUCCUCUGGCCACUAUCCCAUGGGCCACUACACCCUCUUUACAGGCCUCACUCCCAUCUCAGCCUCACCAACCUUCCCCUACUCCAUCUUCCUCACAAUCUUUUCAACCUACUCCUCCACAAGCCUAGCCAACCCAGUCAGCCUCACACCCUUCCAUCCCAUCCUCCUUCAAAGGAAAACAACACAUUGAUUUGGACCAUCCCUUUACCUAUGAUUUGAUGGCCUCUUCACUCCCUUCUUUAGAAUACCUACCUCCUAAGCCAUUAAACCCUAUUGCCUCUUUCCUCAUGGCUCGUGCCUUGAUCCCUUCUUUGCCAGAAGAAGAGUCAGUUCUAUCUGACAGUGUCGACUCCGACAUUCUUGCUCAGUUGAUGCAACAGCCUCAUGGUGUCAUGCCUACAACACAACCUCUGGCUCCUCCUCCUGAUCCUUAGGUAGACGAGGCAGCCAGUGAUCUUGAUGAAGACUGGCCUCCUCAGUAGCAUGCUCCUAGAAUGGUCGCUCCCGAGAACGACAAUAAGAAGCUCUUCACUCUUGAUGAUAUUCCUCCUCAUGAAUGGCAACAACGCCUCAUGGAUAUUUAUGCCUGGAUGAAAGCAGAAAUGCAUACUCCGGGUGCUACAGCCCAUCGCACCUGUGAAAAGGUCGUUGCCUGAUUCAGUGGCACAUUAUGCGAAUGGUGGAAUAUCCUUGGUGAAUA